rnacentral:lncRNA from 1 species
AAGUAAUAGUAGAUCAAAAAACCAAAUGGACCCCACAAAUUAUCUUUGUUUCUGCAAGUACGGCAUUUUGUCAUAAGUCGACAAUUAUCUCAAAUUAUCUGUACUUACCACCAAAAAAAAAAAAAAAAGAAUUAUCUAGAUUCCUAGAAUAUCCAACUUGAGUGCGGGCAGACGGGUCCAUCCACAUUCAACUUCAUCUUCAUGCAUUAGUGGGCCCAGUGGGACCCAGCCACAAAAUAUAUUGUCAUUUGCAGUAAUCAGAACUCAAAAGUUCUCUUUAUGGAAUUCAAAUUUGGUAACAAGAGUGAGGCGAGGUUUGGAACCCUACUGCGGGAGGGACGCCUCGCGAGCCGGGCUUUUAGAAGGAAAAAGUGGCAGGCUUUGACGCACGCUAGGAUAGAAGAUCAUGUAAGAGAACAUCAUUUACUAUAUCUUCCUAAUUAGAACCCCUCCUUCUUAGCUCAUCUUGAUCAGGAGUUGCACUCUUGUAAGACUUGCUAUUCUCUUUUUGGCAGUCUUAGGAGAUAUAGGAAGUCCAUUCUCCUUCAGGAGGUCUUGUGAGAAAAAUCAGAGCCGAGCUGUCUUAUUUCUUUCACUGGUGUUGGCGCCCCACAAAAGAAUGCCCCUGCAAAUAUCAAUGGAAAAAUUCAAUUUAAGACAAGUAUUUC